AAGUCGUAACAAGGUCUCCGUUGGUGAACCAGCGGAGGGAUCAUUACAAGAAGCCGAAAGGCUACUUAAAACCAUCGCGAACUAUUCCAAGUUGCUUCGGCGGUGCGGCUCUCCCCCCCGGGGGUCUGCCGCGUGCGCCGCCUCCUCCCCCGGGAGCUGGCGGGGCGCCCGCCGGGGGUCACAAACUCUCAUGUAUUACAGUGGAUCUCUGAGUGAAAAACAAAUAAGUUAAAACUUUCAACAACGGAUCUCUUGGUUCUGGCAUCGAUGAAGAACGCAGCGAAAUGCGAUAAGUAAUGUGAAUUGCAGAAUUCAGUGAAUCAUCGAAUCUUUGAACGCACAUUGCGCCCGCUAGUACUCUAGCGGGCAUGCCUGUUCGAGCGUCAUUUCAACCCUCAAGCCCUGCUUGGUGUUGGGGCCCCACGGCUGCCGUGGGCCCUGAAAGGAAGUGGCGGGCUCGCUACAACCCCGAGCGUAGUAAUUCAUUAUCUCGCUUAGGGCGUUGUGCCGUGCUCCUGCCGUUAAAGCACCCCUUUAACUCAAGGUUGACCUCGGAUCAGGUAGGAAUACCCGCUGAACUUAA
rnacentral:misc_RNA from 1 species